rnacentral:rRNA from 1 species
AUUGAACGCUGGCGGCAGGCCUAACACAUGCAAGUCUAUCGGAUGAAUGUAGCUUGCUCCUGUAUUCAGCGGCGGACGGGUGAGUAAUGCCUAGGAAUCUGCCUGGUAGUGGGGGAUAACGUCCGGAAACGGGCGCUAAUACCUCAUACGUCCUGAGGGAGACAUUUGGGGAUCUUCGGACCUCACUCUAUCAGAUGAGCCUAGGUCGGCUUAGCUAGUUUGUGGGGUAAAGGCCUACCCAGGCGACGAUACGUAACUGGUCUGAGAGGAUGAUCCGUCACACUGGAACUGAGACACGGUCCAGACGCCGACGGGAGGCAGCAGUGGGGAAUAUGGGACAAUGGGCGAAAGCCUGAUCCAGCCAUGCCGCGUGUGUGAAGAAGGUCUUCGGAGUGUAAAGCACUUUAAGUUGGGAGGAAGGGCAGUAAGAUAAUACCUUGCUGUUUUGACGGUACCAACAGAAUAAGCACCGGCUAACUUCGUG